rnacentral:rRNA from 2 species
GCGACCCCAGGUCAGACGGGA